AUCAGAUUUGACAGCGGCCGUUAGCGGAAUACGCGUACAGCCGCUAUGCGAAACUCGGUAGAAUGCAGCGGAAUAACUUCGGCUGUAUCCGUCAAAAACCGAUCGUAGUCGAGUGACAACACCAUUUCCGGAAAAAACAUUGUACGACAAAAUGGCGGACGAAACCAAAGAAGUGACAAGGUUCGUGAGUGGUUCCAGGCGUGUGAUGACCCAGGGAUAUCAGCUAUUGACAGAUGCAGGAUGAUACAUAUGGGUAUAUAGGUUCAAGAAAUUCCUUCUGUCACUGGCUGAUUUGUCCACCUUCCCUCCAAUGGGUUUACAUGGGGUCA